CCUGGCGUGCUGCAGUUCAUGGGGUCGCAAAGAGUCAGACACGGCUGAGCGAGGGAACUGAACUGAACUGAGCUAAACUCUGCCUCCCGAAAGAGAUGUACCAAACAUAGAACACCAGGUGGCGCCAGAGAUAUUUCAUCAGAGAACCUCUCAAGGACCCUGCCUUCUUGAUGGCGCUUGUCCUCCUUGGAUGUCAAGUAUCUCUGUGGUUAAACCUGCAGGCUGAACAACAGCUUACCUGCAGAAAUUCAUUGCUGGAUGGAGAGCAUGACAGCCAACAAUGGUACAGAUGAGGAAACUGAGGCCAGAGAAGGACAGUGGCUUCCCCCGUCAGUCACCAAGUAAAGUGUAGCAAAGCAGGAAGUAACGCAGGUAAACCCGGGGUGCUGUUCCUGCCCGCUUCCUGGUCUGUGCAGCUCAGACAGCCUUUCCUGACUCUGGAGUUGAAGGCAGCAGCAGUGGCCUCCUGGGCUUUCCCUGUGGAGGGGGGUGGGGGGAACCUGCGAAGCAGGUGGUAGUGGAGGUAGGGAAGUGAACUUAGGCCAUGGACAUAAUUGUUCAGCUGUGACUCUGGAAGUGGUGGAAAACACAAAAGCUAGGGAAAUCUGAUCGAAAAGAGUCGAAAAUGUUCAAAGAAUACAAUGGCAACCUCUCCGAAUUGAUUGUUCUCACCAUGACCUUGGCUCUGUGCUAUGUAUAUGCUUGCCUGCAUUUAUUUCUUCAUUUAUUGUUUACAACAACUCUGGGAAAUAGGUACUACUGAGCAUUCUUUUUUUUUCUCCCAGGCCCCUCUCAGAAAUGGAAAGAAGUUCAGGAAAAUAAAAACAGCCAGGAGAAAAGUGAAUUCUCUGACCAUUAGGCCUAUAAAACCUCUGCCUCCAGUCCGUACACUUUGCCUUUCCUCCUGUUACAGAGAUGAAUGAUCCCUGCUCUUAGCGAAAGCCACCUCUGGGUGUGGACUGGACCCUGCCAGGGGAAACUCUGUACGUGGCUUCUGGAACCUCAUGGUCAUUGGCUCCCUUGCCGGCUACUUCUCAUUCUCCUUUCUGGGAUCUUCCUCAGAGGACAUCCUCUGAAGAGGCCAGUGACCCUAAUCACAGUCGAGAACUCAAGAGGGAAAACAGCAGUUCUCAAAUCCUGUGUUAGAAAGUUUGGCAAAUAAAGUCAUCUCCAUCAUUAACUUUCA